GACGAACGCUGGCGGCGUGCUUAACACAUGCAAGUGGUGCGACGAACCAGGCUUCGGCCUGGGGCGAAGCCGCGAACGGGUGAGUAACACGUGGGCAAUCUGCCCCUUUGAUCGGGACAACCCGGGGAAACCCGGGCUAAUACCGAAUGAGGUGGCGACUCAUGAGAGUCGUCACGAAAGGAAGUUUCGGCCUCCGCGAAGGGAUGAGCCCGCGGCCCAUUAGCUUGUUGGUGGGGUAAUGGCCUACCAAGGCAACGAUGGGUAGCUGGUCUGAGGGGACGAUCAGCCACACUGGGACUGAGACACGGCCCAGACUCCUACGGGAGGCUGCAGUGGGGAAUCUUGCGCAAUGAGCGACAGCUUGACGCAGCAACGCCGCGUGAGGGAAGAAGGCUUUCGGGUCGUAAACCUCUUUCAGUUAGGACGAAGCUUUAUUGGUUAAUAACCAAUUGGAGUGACGGUACUUUCAGAAGAAGCCCCGGCUAACUACGUGCCAGCCGCCGCGGUAA
rnacentral:rRNA from 1 species